rnacentral:rRNA from 1 species
CCUACGGGGGGCAGCAGUGGGGAAUAUUGGACAAUGGGGGGAACCCUGAUCCAGCCAUGCCGCGUGUGUGAAGAAGGCCCUCGGGUUGUAAAGCACUUUCAGUGAGGAAGAACGCCUGGUGGUUAAUACCCAUCAGGAAAGACAUCACUCACAGAAGAAGCACCGGCUAACUCCGUGCCAGCAGCCGCGGUAAUACGGAGGGUGCGAGCGUUAAUCGGAAUUACUGGGCGUAAAGCGCGCGUAGGUGGCUUGAUAAGCCGGUUGUGAAAGCCCCGGGCUCAACCUGGGAACGGCAUCCGGAACUGCCAAGCUAGAGUGCAGGAGAGGAAGGUAGAAUUCUCGGUGUAGCGGUGAAAUGCGUAGAGAUCGGGAGGAAUACCAGUGGCGAAGGCGGCCUUCUGGACUGACACUGACACUGAGGUGCGAAAGCGUGGGUAGCAAACAGGAUUAGAUACCCUAGUAGUC